rnacentral:rRNA from 1 species
UACAGGCAGUGCGGACGUUAUUCAGCUUUAUUGGGCGUAAAGGGUAUGUAGGUGGUUCUUAAAAACGGAGAAUAAAAAUCUAGAGUAUAUUUUUAGAAAUUUUUUCCAGAUUACAGGACUUUGAGUUAAUUAGGCGUAAGGAUAAUAUCUUGGGUAAGGGUCAAAUCUAACAAGCCUUGAUAGAAGACCCCAGGCGAAGGCACCUUGUGAUGAUUAACUGACACUGAUGUACGAAAGUUUGGGUAGCAAUUCGG